UACGACGGUGGCAAGCGUUGUUCGGAUUUACUGGGCGUAAAGGGCGCGUAGGUGGUUAGGUAAGCCCUCCGGGAAAUCUUCAGGCUUAACCUGAAAAGGUCGGGGGGGACUGCCUGGCUAGAGGACGGGAGAGGAGCGCGGAAUUCCCGGUGUAGCGGUGAAAUGCGUAGAGAUCGGGAGGAAGGCCGGUGGCGAAGGCGGCGCUCUGGAACGUUUCUGACACUGAGGCUCGAAAGCGUGGGGAGCAAACAGG
rnacentral:rRNA from 1 species